AUUUCCAUUUUCCAAAACCCCCUUUUCCCCUUUCGGCGCAAAAAAAUUGAAAAAAUGGAGAUAAAAUACUAAACAUAUUAUGAGGCAUAUGUGCAAGCAGUAGUCUUCAUUAUUCAGAUCUACUUCAACUCCAAGUCUAGAGCGGGAGAAGUUUAGAGAGGGAGUGAAUCCUUAGUUGAGAAUUGAGAUGGAUGAGAAGUUGAUACAGCGGUUGGAGUCGGCGGUAGCUCGACUGGAGACGCUGUCCACCGGCGGAUUUGGCCAUGGAACUUCGCGUGAGGUUGACGUUAGUGCGGCGGCGUCGGAUCCAUCGAUCGUUGCAUUCGAAGAUCUGAUUUCGCAGUGCGUCGGGAGGCUGUCGAGUGCUGCUGAGAAGAUUGGAGGACAAGUUUUGGAUGCUACUAAGAUUGUAAAGGAUGCAUUCUCUGCUCAGAAGGAGCUUCUAAUCAAAACCAAGGGAAUUCAGAAACCUGACAUGAAGGGUCUCAGUGAGUUCUUGAAGCCUUUGAAUGAAGUAAUUAUGAGGGGAUCAUCGUUGACAGAAGGGCGGAGAUCUGAUUUCUUCAACCAUUUAAAGGCUGCCACUGAUAGUUUAACGGCUCUGGCAUGGAUUGCCUACACAGGAAAAGAUUGCGGUAUGAGCAUGCCCAUAGCCCAUGUUGAAGAAAGCUGGCAGAUGGCUGAGUUUUACAAUAACAAGAUUCUUGUAGAGUAUAGAAGCAAAGAUCCAAAUCAUGUUGAGUGGGCAAAAGCUUUGAAGGAGCUUUAUUUACCUGGAUUGAGAGAUUAUGUUAAAAGUCACUAUCCUCUGGGCCCUGUAUGGAAUGCUACAGGGAAGACUUUUGUAUCUGCUCCAGCUAAAGCUCCUGGUACUACUCCUGCACCUCCAGCUCCACCCCCAGCUUCACUCUUCAAGACUGAAUCUCCUAAGUCUUCAUCAUCACGUCCGAAGCAAGGAAUGGCUGCUGUUUUUGAAGAAAUAAGUUCUGGGAAGUCAGUAACUUCUGGUUUGAGAAAGGUUACAAAUGAUAUGAAAACAAAGAAUCGAGCAGACAGAAGUGGCAUUGUUGGAGCUAGUGAAAAGGAAGGCCGUGUUAGUUCACCCUCAUUCUCUAAAGCAGGACCUCCAAAAUUAGAGCUCCAAAUGGGUCGCAAAUGGGUGGUGGAGAAUCAAAUUGGGAAGAAAAAUUUAGUUAUUGAUGACUGCGAUGCCAAGCAGUCUGUAUACAUCUUUGGUUGUAAAGAUUCUGUUCUGCAGAUCCAGGGAAAAGUUAACAACAUAACCAUUGAUAAAUGUACUAAGAUGGGAGUUGUAUUCUCGGAUGUUGUGGCAGCUUUUGAGGUUGUCAAUUGCAGCGGUGUAGAGGUGCAAUGCCAGGGCGUGGCCCCAACAAUUUCAGUGGAUAAUACAUCUGGGUGCCUGUUAUACCUGAGCAAGGAUUCUUUGGAGGCUUCUAUUACAACAGCCAAAUCCAGUGAAGUUAACAUUUUGGUGCCUGGUGCAGGGCCUGAUGCUGAUUGGGUAUGUUUAUCAUUUUAUAUUAUGUGCUUGCUAUUAAAAUCUUCAAUACUGGAACUUAAUGAAACCCAUAGACCAUAUUUGAGUAUUUGACAUAGUUUCUGCUUAUUUCUUUACGAGUUAAAUUACAUACAAGCUGCUUUAUGUGAUUAUAUGUUACGCUCACCAUUAUAUAUUAAACUGAAAUUUGUGAACUAUUUGGCCUCUCUUUUGCUUUUGGCUUCCUUUAUGUUAUAGAUUUCUCAGUAUACAAUUCUCUUGCACCUGACAAACUACUCAUUCAUGAUGAGUUAAUUUUAGAAGCAAUACCAAUUGUAUAAAUUUUUAAUUAGAAAAAUUGAAAUAAGUAGCGUGAUAGUGCUCUCGUCAGGAUUGCUGGAAAUUAUUACUCUGUAUGAUUUGUUCAAUCUGUGAAUUUGGUGUGUAGGAGGAGCAUGCUUUGCCUCAGCAGUAUAUUCAUGUGUACAAGGAUGGCCAAUUCAUAACAUCUCCAGCCACCCACUCUGGAGGUUAAAAUGUUAAAUGGUGACAGCUCUCUCUUUUGAUUGCUUAUGCCUAUCAUUUUCUUUUUGCUCUGUGAAUUUGACUUGCCAAAGGGUUGGGAGGAAUUUCUUUUUCCUUAUAUUUGCUUCUGUGAUAACAUAUACAUUUUUGUUCAGUGUCCAAUACUUUUUGUUUUUUCUGGGCAGUUUGUUCGGAUGAAAAGAGCUUCUUGCGGGAGUCCUGUGUACUUUGUUGUGUUAUUUGUAUGGAAAUUAUAUUUGUGCCAUACCACAUUUUGAGAACAUUGUUACCCACCCGCCAGUUGUUUGGUGGAUCUUCAUGACAUUACAAUUUUUUGGGGUUAUAUCUCCAGAAUACAUAGUACAUAUUUGUUGUGUGUUCCUAAUUACUUGAGUGGUGAUUUUUGGGAAUGGUAAA